UGGGGAAUCUUCCGCAAUGGACGAAAGUCUGACGGAGCAACGCCGCGUGAGUGAAGAAGGUUUUCGGAUCGUAAAACUCUGUCUUUUGGGGCGAACGUGAGUAUGGUGAACAAUCAUAGUCAGUGACGGUACCAAAGGAGGAAGCCACGGCUAACUACGUGCCAGCAGCCGCGGUAAUACGUAGGUGGCAAGCGUUGUCCGGAAUUAUUGGGCGUAAAGAGCGCGUAGGCGGGAUAGUCAGUCUGUUGUAAAAGUGCGGGGCUCAACCCCGUGAUGGCAAUGGAAACAGCUAUUCUUGAGUGCAGGAGAGGAAAGUGGAAUUCCCAGUGUAGCGGUGAAAUGCGUAGAUAUUGGGAGGAACACCAGUGGCGAAGGCGACUUUCUGGACUGUGUCUGACGCUGAGGCGCGAAAGCCAGGGGAGCGAACGGGGAUUAGAUACCCCCGGUAGUCCUGGGCCGUAAACGAUGGGGUACUAGGUGUGGGGGGUAUCGACCCCUUCCGUGCCGGAGUUAACGCAAUAAGUACCCCGCCUGGGGAGUACGGUCGCAAGACUGAAACUCAAAGGAAUUGACGGGGGUCAUAGCUGUUUCCUG
rnacentral:rRNA from 1 species